CCUACGGGCGGCUGCAGUAGGGAAUAUUGCUCAAUGGGGGCAACCCUGAAGCAGCAACGCCGCGUGUAUGAUGAAGGUUUUCGGAUUGUAAACUCCUUUUAUUAGAGAAGAUAAUGACGGUAUCACACGAAUAAGCACCGGCUAACUCCGUGCAAGGAGCCGCGGUAAUACGGCGGGUGCAAGCGUUACUCGGAAUCACUGGGCGUAAAGAGCGCGUAAGCGGGUUAGCAAGUCAGAUGUGAAAUCCUAUGGCUUAACCAGAGAACUGCAUUUGAAACUGGUAAUCUAGAGUAUGGGAGAGGUAGGUGGAAUGCUUGGUGUAGGGGUGAAAUGCGUAGAGAUGAAGAGGAAUACUCAUGGCGAAGGCGACCUGAUAGAACAUAACUGACGCUGAGGUGCGAAAGCGUGGGGAGCAAACAGGAUUAGAUACCCGAGUAGUC
rnacentral:rRNA from 1 species